UACGUAGGGUGCGAGCGUUAUCCGGAUUCACUGGGUUUAAAGGGUGCGUAGGUGGGCAGGUAAGUCAGCGGUGAAAUCUCCGGGCUUAACCCGGAAACUGCCAUUGAUACUAUCAGUCUUGAAUACCGUGGAGGUAAGCGGAAUAUGUCAUGUAGCGGUGAAAUGCUUAGAUAUGACAUAGAACACCAAUUGCGAAGGCAGCUUACUACACAGUUAUUGACGCUGAGGCACGAAAGCGUGGGGAUCAAACAGG
rnacentral:rRNA from 1 species